rnacentral:rRNA from 1 species
GACAGAGGGUGCAAACGUUGCUCGGAAUUACUGGGCGUAAAGGGCGUGUAGGCGGGAAGGCAAGUCGGGCGUGAAAUCCCCAGGCUCAACCUGGGGGCUGCGUUUGAUACGUGCGGGCUUGAGUUCGGAAGAGGGUCGUGGAAUUCCCAGUGUAGAGGUGAAAUUCGUAGAUAUUGAGAAGAACACCGGUGGCGAAGGCGGCGACCUGGUCCGAUACUGACGCUGAGGCGCGAAAGCGUGGGGAGCAAACAGG